GAGUCUUAACUGGGCGUUAAGUUGCAGGGUAUAGACCCGAAACCCGGUGAUCUAGCCAUGGGCAGGUUGAAGGUUGGGUAACACUAACUGGAGGACCGAACCGACUAAUGUUGAAAAAUUAGCGGAUGACUUGUGGCUGGGGGUGAAAGGCCAAUCAAACCGGGAGAUAGCUGGUUCUCCCCGAAAGCUAUUUAGGUAGCGCCUCGUGAAUUCAUCUCCGGGGGUAGAGCACUGUUUCGGCAAGGGGGUCAUCCCGACUUACCAACCCGAUGCAAACUGCGAAUACCGGAGAAUGUUAUCACGGGAGACACACGGCGGGUGCUAACGUCCGUCGUGAAGAGGGAAACAACCCAGACCGCCAGCUAAGGUCCCAAAGUCAUGGUUAAGUGGGAAACGAUGUGGGAAGGCCCAGACAGCCAGGAUGUUGGCUUAGAAGCAGCCAUCAUUUAAAGAAAGCGUAAUAGCUCACUGGUCGAGUCGGCCUGCGCGGAAGAUGUAACGGGGCUAAACCAUG
rnacentral:rRNA from 1 species